ACCCUGAGGCGGAGCUCACAGGGAUCGGAAGGCCCCAGGCCUGAGGGCCCAGGGGACCCUGGGUGAGUGAGGGGCAGGUGAGGCAGGCGGUCCUCUGUCCAGCCUGUCUGUUGACAGAGACACAGCCCCUGCCCCCAGGGCCCCACUCCAGCGCUCAGGGUGGGAGUCAGGCCUGGACAUGACUUCAACUGUCAAGCCUCUGCUUCCCCACCUGGGGAGAAGGAGAAGGAGAAGGACUGGAGCCUCCAAGGCCUGUAAUUAGGGCGAGAUGAGAUCAUGGGACAGAGCAUCCCUGUCCCUGGGCUCGUCUGACCUUUCUGGAGGCCUGCAGAAUUCAGAGCCUGGGGAGGCGGGCCCGGUGGGUGGGACUGGCCACGGAAGGGCAGAGGGCAGAGGGCAUUCCCCAGCCUUGCACCAGCUUCUGCCCCAGGACCCACGGUGCGCCUCUGUCCGGUGGGGAGAGGGCCCGUUGAUGCAGACUCCCAGGGGCGUCGCUAGCCUCUGCCCAGCCCCAGGAAAUCUCAGGCCAGCCCCAGCACAGGAGUGGCUUCUGGCCACAGGCCAGUGCCGGAUGAGGGCCGUGAGUCCCCAGGAGAGCCAGCCAAGAAAGGUACUUGCUGACUCUUGGACACUCUCCAACCUGGAGACGCAGGCACAUGAGAGCCACUCCUGGAUGGGGACUCAGCGAUUCUUGGAAUGCUCCGAGUCCUUGCUCAGCUGACUCUGCACCCCAGGCACACCCCCAUCCAGAUCUCGUUCUGACCUGAUUUCCUGUCCCACCCCAGAGACUUCCUGUAGCCAGGAUAGCACACUCGGCCCAUCUGAUGACGGACAUUAUUUCUGGAAGCUACGUCCACCUGUCAGGUCCUCCCUUCCUGGGACCUGGGUCUCUUUUUGGAGCUGCAGGUGCAUCUGUGCCUACCCCCAGCUCUGGGUAACCUGAUGCCCGAGGACACGGAACAUGCUGGAGCUUCCACCUGUGGCCAGCCGCCUCUGACCCAUUGGCCAGAGUCCCUGUGUCACCGGCACCUGACUCUGGGGGAGCAUGCGCCCCCUCAUGCUCCGGCAGAGCAAGGAUGCCCUGCUCCCCGCCCGGGCUGGCACAGAGCAAGCCCCCGCCUCUUGUCAGGAAGCAGAGCUCAGAGACUGGAUGGGCAGACCUUGAGUGAGCUCUGCUGGGAGCAGGAAGGCAGGCGUGGGCGUCUCUCAGAGAGCAGUCUCCCUGCCUGACGCGUGAUGCGGAGGUGAAAACCAGGACAGCCCCGAGAGCGGUGGGUGGGCCCCUGUGAGCCCAGGGGGGCCCUCUGGGGCCCCCAGAGACCCUGGGCAGCAGCGGGGACUGCAGUUUCACUUCCCCGGACAGGCACCCAGAGUGAUCUUUAUUGCUUUCAUUUUGAAACCUUUUUCCUUCUGUUUCCUUUCUGGGAUGGCCUGAGAUGACCUCGGACACUGCUACAGAAUGGAGUUAGCAAAAGCAUGCCCGGCCACCGACCCACUCAGCCACGGUCCACCCACCCCCCCAGCCCUCCAGCCACACACCUGUCGGUCUGUCGUCGGUCCAACCGCCUCCCUACGCACCGACCCGCCCGCCGGUGCCCCCACUCACACACCCAGCCGUCUGUCCAGACACCUGCUUCAGCUAGUUCUACCUGAUUUGCUGUGGGAGUGGCUGGGACAUGCCUCCCGGGAACACACCAGUGUCAGGAGACUGCCUCCCGGGCCCGGUUGCAGAGCGGCUGGCCGGGGCUCGGCGCGAGCGAGUCGGUGCGGCCGGAUCCUUGAACAACACGGGCUUGAACUGGCGGGUCCGCGUAGACGCCGGUGUCUCCCAGUGAAUGUGGUCCGGCGCUGUAAACGCAUUCUCCCUAAGAUUUUCUUGGUUACACCUUCUUUUCUCUGACUUUUUCUAUGGCGAAAAUACAGCGUGUAACACAGCGCGCACAA